rnacentral:rRNA from 1 species
UACGUAGGGGGCAAGCGUUGUCCGGAUUUAUUGGGCGUAAAGAGCGUGUAGGCGGCCAGGUAGGUCCGUUGUGAAAACUCGAGGCUCAACCUCGAGACGUCGGCGGAAAACCCUCUGGCUAGAGUCCGGAAGAGGAGAGUGGAAUUCCUGGUGUAGCGGUGAAAAUGCGCAGAUAUCAGGGAAAGAACACCCCUGGCGAAGGCGGCUCUCUGGGGACGGGU